rnacentral:rRNA from 1 species
ACGACGCUGGCGGCGUGCUUAACACAUGCAAGUCGAACGGUGACGAGGAGCUUGCUCCUCUGAUCAGUGGCGAACGGGUGAGUAACACGUGAGCAACCUGCCCCAGACUCUGGGAUAACAGUUGGAAACAGCUGCUAAUACCGGAUACGAGACGGAGAGGCAUCUCUACCGUCUGGAAAGUUUUUCGGUCUGGGAUGGACUCGCGGCCUAUCAGCUAGUUGGUGAGGUAAUGGCUCACCAAGGCGACGACGGGUAGCCGGCCUGAGAGGGCGACCGGCCACACUGGGACUGAGACACGGCCCAGACUCCUACGGGAGGCAGCAGUGGGGAAUAUUGCACAAUGGGCGAAAGCCUGAUGCAGCGACGCCGCGUGAGUGAGGAAGGUUUUCGGACUGUAAAGCUCUGUCGAGCGGGAAGAAGUGUACCAUGGCUAAUAUCCAUGAUAUUUGACGGUACCGCUAGAGGAAGCACCGGCUAACUCCGUG